rnacentral:rRNA from 1 species
UUGACCUCGGAUCAGGUAGGAAUACCCGCUGCACUUAAGCAUAUCA